rnacentral:rRNA from 1 species
CCUACGGGGAGCUGCAGUGGGGAAUAUUGCACAAUGGGCGCAAGCCUGAUGCAGCCAUGCCGCGUGUGUGAAGAAGGCCUUCGGGUUGUAAAGCACUUUCAGCGGGGAGGAAGGCGGUGAGGUUAAUAACCUCAUCGAUUGACGUUACCCGCAGAAGAAGCACCGGCUAACUCCGUGCCAGCAGCAGCGGUAAUACGGAGGGUGCAAGCGUUAAUCGGAAUUACUGGGCGUAAAGCGCACGCAGGCGGUCUGUCAAGUCGGAUGUGAAAUCCCCGGGCUCAACCUGGGAACUGCAUUCGAAACUGGCAGGCUAGAGUCUUGUAGAGGGGGGUAGAAUUCCAGGUGUAGCGGUGAAAUGCGUAGAGAUCUGGAGGAAUACCGGUGGCGAAGGCGGCCCCCCGGACAAAGACUGACGCUCAGGUGCGAAAGCGUGGGGAGCAAACAGGAUUAGAUACCCCAGUAGUC